UACGUAGGGUGCAAGCGUUGUCCGGAUUUAUUGGGUUUAAAGGGUGCGUAGGCGGCCUGACCAGUCAGUGGUUAAAGACUGCGGCUUAACCGUAGCACGCCAUUGAUACUAUCAGGCUUGAGUGCGACAGAGGAAACUGGAAUGUGUGGUGUAGCGGUGAAAUGCAUAGAUAUCACACAGAACACCGAUUGCGAAGGCAGGUUUCUAUGUCGGAACUGACGCUAAGGCACGAAAGCGUGGGUAGCGAACAGG
rnacentral:rRNA from 1 species